AUUAAAAAUUUGGAGAUGGCACCACUGCCGGAAUGUUUAUGUUUUGCUGAAGACGCAAAAAUAAAGGUUUCGGAACCAAAGGAUUUCCGGUUCAGCCAGGAUGUGUCCUAGAAUCUGCUCUAUUUGUAGGAAUAGCGCCUCAAAACUCAUAACGCAUCAUUUGUGCGAAUGCUGCUCGGAACGGUUCCUGAUUAAAUCCGGCGGAACAGUAACCGGUUCUAGCGAUGAAGGCUGUCUGGAGCAGAAACCUGGGCUUUUAGACGAAACUGGAGACGUUCUUGGUUUAC